GCUUGCACCUGGUGGCGAGUGGCGAACGGGUGAGUAAUACAUCGGAACGUACCUUAUCGUGGGGGAUAACGCAGCGAAAGCUGUGCUAAUACCGCAUACGCCCUGAGGGGGAAAGCGGGGGAUCGAAAGACCUCGCGCGAUUAGAGCGGCCGAUGCCUGAUUAGCUUGUUGGUGGGGUAAAAGCCCACCAAGGCGACGAUCAGUAGCUGGUCUGAGAGGACGAUCAGCCACACUGGGACUGAGACACGGCCCAGACUCCUACGGGAGGCAGCAGUGGGGAAUUUUGGACAAUGGGGGAAACCCUGAUCCAGCAAUGCCGCGUGAGUGAAGAAGGCCUUCGGGUUGUAAAGCUCUUUUGUCAGAGAAGAAACACCGGCUCUAACACAGUCCGGGAAUGACGGUACCUGAAGAAUAAGCACCGGCUAACUACGUGCCAGCAGCCGCGGUAAUACGUAGGGUGCGAGCGUUAAUCGGAAUUACUGGGCGUAAAGCGUGCGCAGGCGGUUAUACAAGACAGGCGUGAAAUCCCCGGGCUUAACCUGGGAAUGGCGCCUGUGACUGUAUAGCUAGAGUGUGUCAGAGGGGGGUAGAAUUCCACGUGUAGCAGUGAAAUGCGUAGAUAUGUGGAGGAAUACCAAUGGCGAAGGCAGCCCCCUGGGAUAACACUGACGCUCAUGCACGAAAGCGUGGGGAGCAAACA
rnacentral:rRNA from 1 species